rnacentral:tRNA from 2 species
GGAGACGUCGCAUAGCCCGGUCGAGUGCGCCUCACUGCUAACGAGGUAUACCCCUUAAAGGUAUCGGAGGUUCAAAUCCUCUCGUUUCUGCCA